rnacentral:rRNA from 1 species
CCUACGGGGUGCAGCAGUGAGGCAUAUUGGUCAAUGGACGAGAGUCUGAACCAGCCAAGUAGCGUGAAGGAUGACUGCCCUAUGGGUUGUAAACUUCUUUUAUAUGGGAAUAAAAUGUUCCACGUGUGGGAUUUUGUAUGUACCCUAUGAAUAAGGAUUGGCUAACUUCGUGCCAACCGCCGCGGUAAUACGGAGGAUCCGAGCGUUAUCCGGAUUUAUUGGGGUGAACGGGAGCGUAGGUGGAUUGUUAAGUCAGUUGUGAAAGUUUGCGGCUCAACCGUAAAAUUGCAGUUGAAACUGGCAGUCUUGAGUACAGUAGAGGUGGGCGGAAUGCGUGGUGUAGCGGUGAAAUGCUUAGAUAUCACGAAGAACUCCGAUUGCGGAGGCAGUUCACUGGACUGCAACUGACACUGAGGCUCGAAAGUGUGGGUAUCAAACAGGAUUAGAUACCCUGGUAGUC